GGUUAAGCGACUAAGCGUACACGGUGGAUGCCCUGGCAGUCAGAGGCGAUGAAGGACGUGCUAAUCUGCGAAAAGCGCCGGCGAGGUGAUAUGAACCUUUGACCCGGCGAUGUCCGAAUGGGGAAACCCAGUGUGAUUCGUCACACUAUCGUUAACUGAAUACAUAGGUUAACGAGGCGAACCGGGGGAACUGAAACAUCUAAGUACCCCGAGGAAAAGAAAUCAACCGAGAUUCCCCCAGUAGCGGCGAGCGAACGGGGAGCAGCCCGGAGUCUGAAUCAGCUUGUGUGUUAGUGGAACGGUCUGGAAAGUCCGACGGUACAGGGUGAUAGUCCCGUACACGAAAAUGCACAGGUUGUGAACUCGAAGAGUAGGGCGGGACACGUGGUAUCCUGUCUGAAUAUGGGGGGACCAUCCUCCAAGGCUAAAUACUCCUGACUGACCGAUAGUGAACCAGUACCGUGAGGGAAAGGCGAAAAGAACCCCGGCGAGGGGAGUGAAAAAGAACCUGAAACCGUGUACGUACAAGCAGUGGGAGCCUACUUGUUAGGUGACUGCGUACCUUUUGUAUAAUGGGUCAGCGACUUAUAUUCUGUAGCAAGGUUAACCGAAUAGGGGAGCCGAAGGGAAACCGAGUCUUAACUGGGCGUUAAGUUGCAGGGUAUAGACCCGAAACCCGGUGAUCUAGCCAUGGGCAGGUUGAAGGUUGGGUAACACUAACUGGAGGACCGAACCGACUAAUGUUGAAAAAUUAGCGGAUGACCUGUGGCUGGGGGUGAAAGGCCAAUCAAACCGGGAGAUAGCUGGUUCUCCCCGAAAGCUAUUUAGGUAGCGCCUCGUGAACUCAUCUUCGGGGGUAGAGCACUGUUUCGGCUAGGGGGCCAUCCCGGCUUACCAACCCGAUGCAAACUACGAAUACCGAAGAAUGUUAUCACGGGAGACACACGGCGGGUGCUAACGUCCGUCGUGAAGAGGGAAACAACCCAGACCGCCAGCUAAGGUCCCAAAGUCAUGGUUAAGUGGGAAACGAUGUGGGAAGGCACAGACAGCCAGGAUGUUGGCUUAGAAGCAGCCAUCAUUUAAAGAAAGCGUAAUAGCUCACUGGUCGAGUCGGCCUGCGCGGAAGAUGUAACGGGGCUAAACCAUGCACCGAAGCUGCGGCAGCGACGCUUAUGCGUUGUUGGGUAGGGGAGCGUUCUGUAAGCCGUUGAAGGUGGCCUGUGAGGGUUGCUGGAGGUAUCAGAAGUGCGAAUGCUGACAUAAGUAACGAUAAAGCGGGUGAAAAGCCCGCUCGCCGGAAGACCAAGGGUUCCUGUCCAACGUUAAUCGGGGCAGGGUGAGUCGACCCCUAAGGCGAGGCCGAAAGGCGUAGUCGAUGGGAAACAGGUUAAUAUUCCUGUACUUGGUGUUACUGCGAAGGGGGGACGGAGAAGGCUAUGUUAGCCGGGCGACGGUUGUCCCGGUUUAAGCAUGUAGGCGGAGGUUCCAGGUAAAUCCGGUACCUUUUAACGCUGAGGUGUGAUGACGAGGCACUACGGUGCUGAAGUAACAAAUGCCCUGCUUCCAGGAAAAGCCUCUAAGCAUCAGGUAACACGAAAUCGUACCCCAAACCGACACAGGUGGUCAGGUAGAGAAUACCAAGGCGCUUGAGAGAACUCGGGUGAAGGAACUAGGCAAAAUGGUGCCGUAACUUCGGGAGAAGGCACGCUGAUAUGUAGGUGAAGCCCCUGCGGGUGGAGCUGAAAUCAGUCGAAGAUACCAGCUGGCUGCAACUGUUUAUUAAAAACACAGCACUGUGCAAACACGAAAGUGGACGUAUACGGUGUGACGCCUGCCCGGUGCCGGAAGGUUAAUUGAUGGGGUUAGCGGCAACGCGAAGCUCUUGAUCGAAGCCCCGGUAAACGGCGGCCGUAACUAUAACGGUCCUAAGGUAGCGAAAUUCCUUGUCGGGUAAGUUCCGACCUGCACGAAUGGCGUAAUGAUGGCCAGGCUGUCUCCACCCGAGACUCAGUGAAAUUGAACUCGCUGUGAAGAUGCAGUGUACCCGCGGCAAGACGGAAAGACCCCGUGAACCUUUACUAUAGCUUGACACUGAACACUGGUCCUUGAUGUGUAGGAUAGGUGGGAGGCUUUGAAGCGUGGACGCCAGUCUGCGUGGAGCCGACCUUGAAAUACCACCCUUUAAUGGCUGGUGUUCUAACGUAGACCCGUAAUCCGGGUUGCGGACAGUGUCUGGUGGGUAGUUUGACUGGGGCGGUCUCCUCCCAAAGAGUAACGGAGGAGCACGAAGGUUAGCUAAUCCUGGUCGGACAUCAGGAGGUUAGUGCAAUGGCAUAAGCUAGCUUGACUGCGAGAGUGACGGCUCGAGCAGGUGCGAAAGCAGGUCAUAGUGAUCCGGUGGUUCUGAAUGGAAGGGCCAUCGCUCAACGGAUAAAAGGUACUCCGGGGAUAACAGGCUGAUACCGCCCAAGAGUUCAUAUCGACGGCGGUGUUUGGCACCUCGAUGUCGGCUCAUCACAUCCUGGGGCUGAAGUAGGUCCCAAGGGUAUGGCUGUUCGCCAUUUAAAGUGGUACGCGAGCUGGGUUUAGAACGUCGUGAGACAGUUCGGUCCCUAUCUGCCGUGGGCGCUGGAGAAUUGAGGGGGGCUGCUCCUAGUACGAGAGGACCGGAGUGGACGCAUCACUGGUGUUCGGGUUGUCAUGCCAAUGGCACUGCCCGGUAGCUAAAUGCGGAAGAGAUAAGUGCUGAAAGCAUCUAAGCACGAAACUUGCCCCGAGAUGAGUUCUCCCUGAGACUAUAAGUCUCCUGAAGGAACGUUGAAGACGACGACGUUGAUAGGUCGGGUGUGUAAGCGCAGCGAUGCGUUGAGCUAACCGAUACUAAUGAACCGUGAGGCUUAACCUU
rnacentral:rRNA from 1 species